rnacentral:SRP_RNA from 1 species
AGUGGGAUGGCACACCCCUGUAAUCCUUGCUACUAGGGAGCCUACAGCUGGUGCAUCAGUUGAGUUUAGGAGUUCUGAGAGGCAGUGGGCUAAGGUAUCAGGUGUCACCAGUAAAUCUAGCACCAACAGAGUGGUAAGAGCCUGGGUUCAGGGAGCCAUCAGCCUAUCUAAGAGGAUCAAACUGCCCAGGUUGGAAAUGGAGCAGGUCAAAGCUCCUCUGCUAACCAGUGGUGGCUUGUGAGUGGCCACUGUCCUUCUAGGCUGGGUGAGAGAGGGAAACCCAGCAUU